rnacentral:rRNA from 1 species
AUAACCCUCGGAAACGGGGGCUAAUACCGAAUACGACCUGACCUCGCAUGGGGUUGGGUGGAAAGUUUUUCGGCCUGGGAUGGGCUCGCGGCCUAUCAGCUUGUUGGUGGGGUGAUGGCCUACCAAGGCGACGACGGGUAGCCGGCCUGAGAGGGCGACCGGCCACACUGGGACUGAGACACGGCCCAGACUCCUACGGGAGGCAGCAGUGGGGAAUAUUGCACAAUGGGCGGAAGCCUGAUGCAGCGACGCCGCGUGAGGGAUGACGGCCUUCGGGUUGUAAACCUCUUUCAGCAGGGACGAAGCGCAAGUGACGGUACCUGCAGAAGAAGCGCCGGCCAACUACGUGCCAGCAGCCGCGGUAAGACGUAGGGCGCGAGCGUUGUCCGGAUUUAUUGGGCGUAAAGAGCUCGUAGGCGGCUUGUCGCGUCGACCGUGAAAACUUGGGGCUCAACCCCAAGCCUGCGGUCGAUACGGGCAGGCUAGAGUUCGGUAGGGGAGACUGGAAUUCCUGGUGUAGCGGUGAAAUGCGCAGAUAUCAGGAGGAACACCGGUGGCGAAGGCGGGUCUCUGGGCCGAUACUGACGCUGAGGAGCGAAAGCGUGGGGAGCGAACAGGAUUAGAUACCCUGGUAGUCCACGCUGUAAACGUUGGGCGCUAGGUGUGGGGGGCCUCUCCGGUUCUCUGUGCCGCAGCUAACGCAUUAAGCGCCCCGCCUGGGGAGUACGGCCGCAAGGCUAAAACUCAAAGG